ACUGCUCAGUAACACGUGGAUAACCUGCCCUUGGGUCCGGCAUAACCCCGGGAAACUGGGGAUAAUUCCGGAUAACGCACAUAUGCUGGAAUGCUUUAUGCGUAAAAUGGAUUCGUCUGCCCAAGGAUGGGUCUGCGGCCUAUCAGGUAGUAGUGGGUGUAAUGUACCUACUAGCCUACAACGGGUACGGGUUGUGAGAGCAAGAGCCCGGAGAUGGAUUCUGAGACAUGAAUCCAGGCCCUACGGGGCGCAGCAGGCGCGAAAACUUUACAAUGCGGGAAACCGUGAUAAGGGGACACCGAGUGCCAGCAUCAUAUGCUGGCUGUCCAGGUGUGUAAAAUACACCUGUUAGCAAGGGCCGGGCAAGACCGGUGCCAGCCGCCGCGGUAACACCGGCGGCCCGAGUGGUGAUCGUGAUUAUUGGGUCUAAAGGGUCCGUAGCCGGUUUGGUCAGUCCUCCGGGAAAUCUGAUAGCUCAACUAUUAGGCUUUCGGGGGAUACUGCCAGGCUUGGAACCGGGAGAGGUAAGAGGUACUACAGGGGUAGGAGUGAAAUCUUGUAAUCCCUGUGGGACCACCUGUGGCGAAGGCGUCUUACCAGAACGGGUUCGACGGUGAGGGACGAAAGCUGGGGGCACGAACCGGAUUAGAUACCCGGGUAGUCCCAGCCGUAAACGAUGCUCGCUAGGUGUCAGGCAUGGCGCGACCGUGUCUGGUGCCGCAGGGAAGCCGUGAAGCGAGCCACCUGGGAAGUACGGCCGCAAGGCUGAAACUUAAAGGAAUUGGCGGGGGAG
rnacentral:rRNA from 1 species